rfam:Astyanax mexicanus Tnplaced_Scaffold4197, whole genome shotgun sequence.
GUUGGCUAUGGUGACAUGUGCCCAGUCACCUUAGGGGGUAAGAUGGUGGGCAUUCUCUGUGCCAUCGCUGGAGUGCUGACAAUUGCUCUUCCUGUUCCUGUUAUUGUUUCCAAU